GGCACUAUGGCGGAGUGGUUAACGCGAUGCCCUGCUAUUUCUCCAAUUUUCUGGAGAAAUUAGCUUAGGCAUUUCCUUCGGGAGCGCAGGUUCGAAUCCUGCUGGUGUCG
rnacentral:tRNA from 1 species